GGGCGGUUGGCUCAGUUGGCUAGAGCGCCACGUUGACAUCGUGGAGGCCAUAGGUUCAAUUCCUAUACCGCCCA
rnacentral:tRNA from 1 species